rnacentral:rRNA from 1 species
UACGGAGGGGGCUAGCGUUGUUCGGAAUUACUGGGCGUAAAGCGCGCGUAGGCGGCUUUGUAAGUCAGAGGUGAAAUCCCGGGGCUCAACUCCGGAACUGCCUUUGAGACUGCAUCGCUUGAAUCCGGGAGAGGUGAGUGGAAUUCCGAGUGUAGAGGUGAAAUUCGUAGAUAUUCGGAAGAACACCAGUGGCGAAGGCGGCUCACUGGACCGGUAUUGACGCUGAGGUGCGAAAGCGUGGGGAGCAAACAGG